CGUCCGUCCCUCCGUGCGUCCGUCUCCCGCUGCAGCCUGCGCUCCCACCUGCGCCCUGUUGUGGACGACCUUUUCGGUAUUUCGUGAUUUCAACCAGCGUGGAUAAAACUAGAGAAGUUGCGUGAUUUAGUGGAUAGAACAUGGGCCUGGGAAUCAGAAGGACUUGGAUUCUCAUCUGGCCGCCUCUACUCAUCUGCUGUGUGACCUUGGAUCUGACUUGAAAUCUGAAGAAGUUGAGAUCUGCCUGGCUGAAAUGUGAAUGAAAGAUGUAAGAGGAAAGCUUACUUCAAAAUACGUGCUCCAAACUACGGGCCUCUCGAUACUGAAGAGCUACAAAGGUUAAACUGAUGAAACCUCCAUGGCCUGCAGAGAAGGCUGCAUCAUUGCAGAACUGGGAUGCCCUUGAAUUUGGUAUCCCAAUUUUGGGUGCGCCCAAAAGGGGGGGGAGAAAGCGGUCUGUUUUAAACCCAUCUUAAAAGGAUUUUCAACUAUAUCUGGAGGAACAAAGUGCUAAGUCAACAGAGUUCCAGGUGAGGUAACCCCAGAGAUAAUCCAUUUUUCAGGUAUUGGGAUUUUAGAAAAAUCUAGCUUUAGUUAGGCAAUGCAGUGUGUCUCAUUCUUGUCUCUCUUGCUAUUGAUAUUUCUUGCUCAUGCCUUUUCUCUUCCUUCCUGUAGCUCCCUCUACCUUUACAUUGGGCAGACCCCCCCAAUCUCCCCAUCUCUAAAGCCCUUCUGAAAUCACGUCUCCUCCAAGACGCCUUCUGUGAUUAACCUCUCAUCUCCCCAUCCACCAUGCUCUUGAGUUCUCACCCUCUAACCACUUGGCUAUUCAUCACUCUUCCCUCACCAGUAACACUUAUGUACAUACCUUUAAACUUGGUUAUUUUUUUUCACUGUCUCCCCAGCUAGAUUUCUUGACAGCUGAC